CAAAAAUGAAAUCGAUCAAGGCUGUAGUUGCACACCUGAGACAUUCCUCGAGAAGGCAGAGGAGAAAGGUGUGAAAAACAGUGAACCAGAGAAGGAUGGCCAGGGACAACAAAGAUUGGAGCUCGGAAGUUGAAUGACAGAUAUUCUGGAGAAACACACCAGAGAUGACAAAAGGGUUUGUCAAACACAGCCCAACUCAACUGGAGUCCUGAGAAGGUGACCAGACCAGGAUGGAGGCCCAGGGAACUCACCAGAAGUCCCCAUGCAUCAGAACAAGGUCGAAG
rnacentral:lncRNA from 1 species